rnacentral:rRNA from 1 species
AGCGAACGCUGGCGGCAGGCCUAACACAUGCAAGUCGAACGAAGUCUUCGGACUUAGUGGCGGACGGGUGAGUAACACGUGGGAACGUACCUUUUGGUUCGGAACAACUCAGGGAAACUUGAGCUAAUACCGGAUGAGCCCUUAGGGGGAAAGAUUUAUCGCCGAAAGAGCGGCCCGCGUUAGAUUAGCUAGUUGGUGAGGUAAAGGCUCACCAAGGCUACGAUCUAUAGCUGGUCUGAGAGGAUGAUCAGCCACACUGGGACUGAGACACGGCCCAGACUCCUACGGGAGGCAGCAGUGGGGAAUCUUGCGCAAUGGGCGAAAGCCUGACGCAGCCAUGCCGCGUGAAUGAUGAAGGUCUUAGGAUUGUAAAAUUCUUUUACCAGGGACGAUAAUGACGGUACCUGGAGAGAAAGCCCCGGCUAACUUCGUGCCAGCCGCCGCUGUAAUAC